AGCGUUACAGAAAAUCAGCAAAUAAUUUUCCUUGGUUUCGAACCUGCUGCAAACUGCUUGAUAGAAGACAAAACAAUUAUAUUCGAUUUAACCUGGACGUACAAACUUACAUCAGAUAUAGUACGUCCAUUUUUUAUAAUAAAAAAUAACCGCAAUGAAAUAAUAGGGCCUCGGAAAUAUAUGCAUUGGGACUAUAACUUAGACGAAAUGUCAACAAUGGGUACCAGCAUUUUGCACAAAAUAAGAGAUAAAAAGUAUAUAGCAGCUAUUAUAUCUUCGCGCUGUGAGCUAAUUAGCGAACAGCAAAUGUUUGUUCAAAGCCUAGAAACGGAAUUGAAUAAAUUUGGACAGGUUUUGCAUAGUUUUGGAGGUUGUGGACAAAUGCAAUGUGAGUUGAAAUACGAGACAGGAAAGCGUGUACCUAAAUGUGCCGAUUUGAUUAGGAGCGAUUAUUAUUUCUUUCUGGCAUUUGAGGAUGCACUUGGUGAAGACUACGUGACUGACAAAUUGUUGUAUGCUUUACAUAAUUAUGCGGUGCCCGUAGUCUAUGGCGGUGCUAAUUAUACGAGAUUCCUGCCCGAUGGAAUAUACUUGAACGCCAGGUUUUUGGGUGUGACUGAACUGGUUAAAAUAAUGUUGGAAAUUGUACACGAGAACACACCAAAAUACCAAGAUUUUUUUAAUUGGCAUGAAUAUUAUAGUUAUCAUGAAGUUAAUGUAGAUAAUGAACGCUAUGACGGUAUUUGCGAUUUAUGCGCGCUGGCUAACAACAAGACACGGCGACCAACGACCCGUUUAGAUAAGUUUUGGAAUAAUGUACCUAAUCGUUCUUAAGAUUGGUGUUAGAGCUGACAACGACUCUACACGCCAGAGACGUGCAGCGCUUGCGCAUCGUUGCGUAGAAACAAUCCACCCGCCGCUGCUCCGCAAACUUCCUUGACGCGCUGCAGUACGCUGUGAAAAAUAGAAUAGGUCCACGACUUGUUUGUAGCGUCACUCGGUAUUAUAUAAAAAACGAUACAUUUUUAUGUAAUAUUCGUAAUUUUUCUUUUUGUAUAUCUUAUGUUUCAAUAGUUUAAAACAUUCAUUGUUAAUCAAUUUUUUUUUUAAAAGAGAUUUUAACUGAUUUUGUUUUGUAAAUUGUUGGAGAAAGGAAAAACAAGAUGGCGGAUGCACAU